AACGAACGCUGGCGGCAUGCCUAACACAUGCAAGUCGAACGAGACCUUCGGGUCUAGUGGCGCACGGGUGCGUAACGCGUGGGAACCUGCCCUUAGGUUCGGAAUAACUCCCCGAAAGGGGUGCUAAUACCGGAUAAUGUCUUCGGACCAAAGAUUUAUCGCCUUUGGAUGGGCCCGCGUUGGAUUAGCUAGUUGGUAGGGUAAAAGCCUACCAAGGCGACGAUCCAUAGCUGGUCUGAGAGGAAGAUCAGCCACACUGGGACUGAGACACGGCCCAGACUCCUACGGGAGGCAGCAGUGGGGGAUAUUGGAAAAUGGGCGAAAGGCUGAACCAGCAAUGGCGGGUGAGUGAUGAAGGCCUUAGGGUUGUAAAGCUCUUUUACCCGGGAUGAUAAUGACAGUACCGGGAGAAUAAGCUCCGGCUAACUCCGUG
rnacentral:rRNA from 1 species